rnacentral:rRNA from 1 species
AAGCCUAAGUACUCGUGCAUCACCGAUAGCGAACCAGUACCGUGAGGGAAAGGUGAAAAGUACCCCGGGAGGGGAGUGAAAGAGUUCCUGAAACCGGUCGCAUGCAAGCCGUCAGAGCCUGUGUGGUGAUGGCGUGCCUUUUGAAGAAUGAGCCUACGAGUUAUGGUGUGUGGCAAGGUUAACCCGUGAGGGGAAGCCGGAGCGAAA